ACUCCUACGGGAGGCAGCAGUGAGGAAUAUUGGACAAUGGGUGGAAGCCUGAUCCAGCCAUCCCGCGUGCAGGAAGACGGCCCUAUGGGUUGUAAACUGCUUUUAUCUGGGGAUAAACCUACUUACGUGUAAGUAGCUGAAGGUACCAGAAGAAUAAGCACCGGCUAACUCCGUGCCAGCAGCCGCGGUAAUACGGAGGGUGCAAGCGUUAUCCGGAUUUAUUGGGUUUAAAGGGUCCGUAGGCGGACUGAUAAGUCAGUGGUGAAAUCCGACAGCUUAACUGUCGAACUGCCAUUGAUACUGUUAGUCUUGAGUAAGGUUGAAGUGGCUGGAAUAAGUAGUGUAGCGGUGAAAUGCAUAGAUAUUACUUAGAACACCAAUUGCGAAGGCAGGUCACUAAGUCUUAACUGACGCUGAUGGACGAAAGCGUGGGGAGCGAACAGGAUUAGAAACCCCGGUAGUCCCAU
rnacentral:rRNA from 1 species